CAGAAUUCCUCCUCUGAUUUUUCUCUCUGAAAUUAGCCUGUAGUGCUAUGCUUCAGACUUCACAGGAGCCUAAAGGUGUCACAGUCAUCACCAGCGUGAGCAGAAGGAUGCUUCUUGUAGCAUGCCCUGGAGAUCAACAGACCCAGGCUAUUUCAGACCAUAAAGGAGCUGGAUUGUGUCCACCCCCCUUUUGGUGACAAUGUGUCUUGAAGUACACCUGAUGUCUCAAUCCUUUUGCAUGCCAACUUGUGGCUGCAAAGCUGCAGGGAGGAAUCGCAUCCUGCAAUUUUGCCACAGAAACUGUUUAAUUUCAUGGGCCACGCUGGAAGAACGCCUGUGACUGCCCAGUAAAAUAUCAGCAUCUGGACAUCACCAAACAGAUGACUUUCCUGAGAAUGAAGGAUUAGUCUGGGAUACGGCAUUAGCUAUUUCUUCCCUAAGCAAGUUUGAGCACUAUCAAGGAUAGUGAAACACCUGCUGUUUUUCAGCCUCUGUCAUAAGGGGACUGAGAUUUACUUGAGCUUAGUUAAGUUAAAUUGAAACUAAAGUAAAAAGAACAAAACAGUAACCUCUGCUAUAACUGAGAUUAUUUCGAUACAGCUCUAAAUGAGGAGAGAAGAUGAAUCAAGAUUCUAUGUACAUCCUUGAGAAGGUCAUUUCAAGAUACUUGUAUCCAGAUUUCUAAGGAAAUGCAGGUUACAUGGCCACAGUGUGUACUAGUGUUGUCUUCAGUAACUUUCAAAUCUGCUGGCUACUUCAACCACAUUUGAUGGUAAAGUAAAAAUCUGAAAGAUAAUGGAGGAAAUAACAGCAAUUAUUCAAUUUCUCACAGAUGACCAGCAGAUUUAUCAGUGGGAGACAGAUUACUCGUGGAGAAAAUGCUACGGAAGAAGGGAAAUGGAUUGUUGCUCACAUGGAUUCACCCGUUUUCUGGACAGACUUCAACACACUAUGAAACCUGGUCUGGAGGCAGUUCUGUUACACUUGAUCCUAUAUGAAGGCAAAGCACAAGCUCAGUUGUUUAAAGGCAUGUAACCCAUGUGUCACAGAUCUUGCUAAGCUCCCUGGCUAGACGUUGACCAG